rnacentral:ncRNA from 1 species
AACGGUAGAGGAGCAAAACUUAAGAGUAAUAUAGUUUUUAUAGGCAAAUUAAAACUAUAGGAAAGGAAGUUUUGCCGAAGAGUAUAAGAGAUUGCUUUAAUCUUAUAACUCUGGGCUUGUGUAGAAUAUGCAUAAGACUGUCACAAGAAAUUGUGUUGAGCUAUC